UCGGUGUACAAGACUAGAUAAGUAGGCAUAAUACUAUUUUUUUUUCAAUGAAUAAUAUAUGUCAUUGUCAUGUUACACGUGUGUUGUUAACUAUUGACUUGAUUUUGUUUCAUCUUCUAGACGUUUUCUCAACUUCAGGAAGAGGAAAGCUCCCUGCUCCAGGAAAAAAUAUAUUUAACAAAGGUAAUAUUUAUUUACAAGGACAUGAACAAUGAAAAUGUUGAAAUAAUCUGUAGCAAAUUUGUUGAGCAUCUCUAGAAAAAUUUCCAAUGUAAUAGAACUAAUAAUAUUUCUUAGUUUCAUACAUUGUAUAGGAGUUAUUAUUUUUU